rnacentral:rRNA from 1 species
GACGAACGCUGGCGGCGUGCCUAAUACAUGCAAGUCGAACGCAGUGGGGACGGGUGAGUAACACGUGGGUAACCUCCCAUCAGAGGGGAUAACACUUGGAAACAGGUGCUAAACCGCAACUGAUGGAUGGACUCGCGGGGCAUUAGCUAGUGGGUGGGGUAACGGCUCACCAAGGCCACGAUGCAUAGCUGAUCUGAGAGGGUGAUCGGCCACACUGGAACUGAGACACGGCCCAGACUCCUACGGGAGGCAGCAGUAGGAAAUCUUGGGCAAUGGGCGAAAGUCUGACCCAGCAACGCCGCGUGAGUGAAGAAGGUUUUCGGAUUGUAAAACUCUGUUGUUGGAGAAGCGGUAUCUAACGAGAAAGCCACGGCUAACUACGUGCCAGCAGCCGCGGUAAUAC